GGAAUGUGGCUCAAGCGGUAGCGCGCUCGCCUGGCAUGCGUGCGGCCCAGUUCGAUCCUCAGCACCA
rnacentral:tRNA from 1 species